UCCACAGCCUGCAAGUGCGGCCCCCCCGGCACAGGCUCCCAGCGAGCGCGGCGGCCUGCUCGCCAGAGCCGAGCCCAGGGGCUGCCGACCGUGACCCGUAGUGCCCUCGGGGGCCCAGGUCUCGGGGGUGCUGGGGGCCCCGGGGGCGGCUGCUCGCUGCCCACACUGCGCCCCCCUUUCUGAACCGGCCUCCCCUCCUGGCGCCCCGCUGCCCGCUGCUUCCUCCCGACCCGCUGGCCCUUUCCCUUGGCCUUAAGUAUUUAUUUAAACUCUUAAAAUGAUUAGUGUCCCCUACUCCUUCACACUGCUGCAGGGGGAUCCUUCGGGAGGUAUUUCUGUGCUUUCUGCCCCUUUCCCUCUCCUCAGUACGGGUCCCGGCCUCCACACCCCGCUUCUGCCCCUUCCUCCUCUUGCCCUGGUGACAGUGUCCAGGCUAAUGGAGUCAAGGAAGGGGAGGGGUGGUGGGUUUCUGGGGAUGGGUCUGUGGGGGCUGGGAGUGGACACUGCAGCUCCUGGCCACUCGCUGCUGUCGCCUGGGAGGCCGUGGCCUGUGCCCACACUGACCCUCUCGGGCGCUCUGCCGGCAGGGAGCAUGAAGCGACUCUUGACCGAACCGUGGAUGCAUGAGGCCCUGCCAGGCCCCGGGACUCAGCGGCGAGCCCAGGCCCGAGCUCACGCAGCUGAUCAGCCUUCGGGAAGAGGGACGCUGAACAGUGAUGAGGAUCCCUCCAGUUGGUCCAGGAGGGGCGGUUCUUGGAGGCCUACCAGAGCAUCUCGAUGUUGGCAGAGGAAGGGCAGGACUGUGGCCCCCAGUACCAGGCUGUGGCCCAGAGCAUGUGGCAGGUCAUCCAGCAGGCUCUGGAGGGCCCUGGGCCCAGCCAGGAGCUGGAGCUGAAGCUCCAGGCAGUGCUGACCACUGUGGGGUGGACACAGGACAAGCACCAGAGCUGAGUGGCCGGCGCCCUCCAGGACAGUGGUGUUGCCCCGUGGGCUGGUCAGCUGGAGGACCUGCUGAGAAACGAUGCUGAGGCCCGAGUGCCCACCCUGGGCCCCAAGGACCAGCUGGACCCAUACCUGGAGAAGCUAGACCAAGCUAUGAGACAGGGCCUGGGGUCCCCGUGGGCAAGCCGAUUGGGGACCUGCCUCUGGGAGGUCUAUAGGAUGUACUUCCAGGAAGUGCUCCUCAGCCGCCUCUCUGAGCUCACGCACUCCUGCGGCACCAACUUGAAAAGCUGUCAAGUCCUGUACACCUGGCACAAGACGAACUUGUUUGGGCAUCCGGGGGAGACACUUGUGAAAGCACCUCUGACCUCUCAGGAGCCCACGGUCGGGCACCUCUUGGACCCCAUAAUGUUUGUUACCUGGAUGUCCCAAAUGCAGAAGAAGCUGGUGGGGCUGAUCCAGGAAGAGUUGGCAAAGCGUGUAGAAAGAGUCCUGAUCUGGGAUCGGAAAAGGUGAGCCCAGUGUUCCCACCCAACGUUUCUCGAAAUCUUCCAGCUGCUGAAAGAAAGCAUGAAUGCAGUACAACCCAUGGGACUACCUGUCACUAGCCAGGUGCAAGCGGUGGUUCUGGAAACAUUUUCAGAGUUUCUGAAAAGGGUGCCUGGGUGGCUCAGUUGGUUGAGCGACUGCCUUCGGC